AAUCUUCCGCAAUGGGCGCAAGCCUGACGGAGCAAUACCGCGUGUGGGAUGAAGCGGCUACGCCGUGUAAACCACUGUCAGGGGACGGAAUCAAUGAUUGUCCCCAAAGGAAGAGACGGCUAACUCUGUGCCAGCAGCCGCGGUAAUACAGAGGUCUCGAGCGUUAAUCGGAAUCACUGGGCUUAAAGGGUGCGUAGGCGGCCCCGAAAGCGUCGUGUGAAAGCCCCUGGCUCAACCAGGGAAUUGCACGGCGAACUGCGGGGCUUGAGAGAACUAGGGGCUGACAGAACAGUAGGUGGAGCGGUGAAAUGCGUAGAUAUCUACUGGAAUGCCGAUGGUGAAGACGGUCAGCUGGGGUUCUUCUGACGCUGAGGCACGAAAGCGUGGGGAGCAAAC
rnacentral:rRNA from 1 species